CGUAAGAUCUAAUGCAAUGGAACGCUAAAAUUGUACUUCAAUUGCUUUUAUUUUAUUAAAUACAAUUUAUCCCAAACGUCCAAGGUUUUAAAAAGCUGCAAUCGCCAUUUUUGUUUAGUUGACAGUUCUUACAUGCUAAUAUGUAAACAACAAUGGUGGACUACACGUGUUAAUCUUCCGCGUUAUUUUUGUUCGCGGUUUCGAUGCAAAAUACCAGCAAAUGGUCAUAUUUUUUCAUUUAGUAAAACACAAUUCCGAAAGAAAGAUGUGUCUUGUGGCGUGUGCGGUUUAUACGGUGGAGCAGGUUAAUAUCCGAAAAGGACGAAAUGCUUCAAGUUUAGCUGCACAGGACACUACGAAGUUCCGGCUGGUUCAAUAUUUCAUCUCUCGCAGGGUGCUAUUGUUCUCGUCUAAUAAUGCACGGACAAACUUACAUAUCCAAUCGUUUAUAAAAGAUCUUCAAGCAUCAAAUUCAAUCAACUGCCAGAACGACAACGUUUGGACGUAAUGGGCAAUUAAGACGCAAUCUUGGCCUGUUGGUUGGUUAACUGAACUAUAUUUGGAUCGGUGUUAAAUGGUAGUUCGAUCCGCCCGUUCACUAACAGGUUAUUAGUGUUGCAAAUGAUUCAGCUCAUGCCUUAGCUUUUUGGGUAGCUUAAUGGUGUAUCUUUAAGGAUACUUUCUCCUGGUUCUGGUCUGGUCUUGAAGUAACAGUGAAAGAAGCCGCAAGAAUGGAUAUAAAGGACAACUUGAGCGUGAGUUAGACGUAAGCCAACCGAAGAAUAUUUGUAUCUGAGCCCGUCAUGUUGUUCAGCUGUGUGAGACAAUUAAUCCCCUUAAUGUAGAUCCAGUAACUGCUCAUGUUCAAUCAGCCUAGAUGGAGCUAAAUACCCAACAAUUGAAUGUCUUCAAUUUCUUCAUAAUUUAAUGAUUUAAUUUAAUUUCAAUAAAUUACAGUUCGUUCACGAACCGGCCUCGAUGAACACUACCAUG